rnacentral:rRNA from 1 species
GACGAACUGCCCAAACGUUGUUCGGAAUCACUGGGCUUAAAGGGCGCGUAGGCGGCAGAUCAAGUCAGGGGUGAAAUCCGGCAGCUCAACUGUCGAAGUGCCUUUGAUACUGUGGAGCUAGAGGGAGGUAGGGGUCUGUGGAACUUCCGGUGGAGCGGUGAAAUGCGUUGAUAUCGGAAGGAACGCCGGUGGCGAAAGCGACGGACUGGAUCUCUUCUGACGCUGAGGCGCGAAAGCCAGGGGAGCAAACGGG